rnacentral:rRNA from 1 species
GUCUGCAACUCGACUGCAUGAAGCCGGAAUCGCUAGUAAUCGCGGAUCAGAAUGCCGCGGUGAAUACGUUCCCGGGUCUUGUACACACCGCCCGUCACACCAUGGGAGUCGGAAAUGCCCGAAGCCGGUGGCCUAACCGUUUAUGGAGGGAGCUGCCGAAGGCAGGUCUGGUGACUGGGGUGAAGUCGUAACAAGGUAGC